AGUGUAAGAGUCGCUGCGCCCGGCCUUUGCAGAAACACAGAUGCCUCAUUGUUCCGGCAGAGACAAUAGUACAAGAGGAAACAUUCUGGGGUGUUGUGACUAAAACAACUGCAGAUGAACAAAUACUCCCUAGCCGCCUCCUGCUGCUGCCUUGCUCUUCCCUUGCAAGGGCCUUCAGCAUUGGUACGUGGGGUCAUAUUGCUCACCUAGAAGGAAACACCUCCUGCAGCAAGAGUCGUGUUAUUGUCCUUAGGCCCCUUUAAGGUUAACCAUACUGGGUGACCCACGGGCACGGCACUUCGGGUAUAGCCACACUGCACGCUCCCUGGUGGAGGUUCGUGCUCGACCAGUUGACCGGGGCUCCUUGGGAGAGAUUAGCAUCUUUAUGAGAAGAGACUUCUCUGUCAGUCAGAGAGAGGAACCAUGUCACCCUCAAAUGCAGUUGCUCAGUGAAGAAUUAAGAAGCAUAAAGGGUGAGGGGAAAGGCUCUGGGAAUGUGAAAUGAUCCGUAAGGUAAAAGCGCCAAAGGAGAGCUGUUGGAGAUACACUGGAAAUUGUGUAGAACAGAGAAUUCAGUCCCUGCUAGAGAGCCCUAUGGGGUGCUUUAAACAUUCUAGACAAAGCAGAUCAUUCCCUAUUAAACUGAGCUGGGAUGGGAGUAGGAGAGGGUCAGGGAGGAGCACUGAGCUGGGAUACAGGGGGAUGGGGGCACUGAGCCAGGAGGGGAUGGGUGGGUCACUUAGCUGGGGAAUUCAAACCCUUGGGCCCUGUUUACUCUUUUCCCUGUGGAAAGCCCCCCCCCCCAAGGUGGGCAUGUGUGUGGCAAGGGAACCCGCUUGGUAUUACAGCUUCAAGUGGCGGCUCCUGUGCCUGGCAGGCUGGGGAUGCCAGGGCCGGUCAGCAUUUUCCACUCCUCGCACUGUUUUCAUUCCACCCUGGGUCUCUCCUGCUGCACGGAGGCUUUUGAAUCCCCUCCAACAGAAACUUUCCACCCUCUCCAAUCUCCUUUCCCCUUAGCCACCUCCACUCCAACGAGAGCUGGCGUUUUCUGGCCCUGCUUUGAAGCCAUUCGCACAAUGCGCAAUUGUGCCCGGCAGCUUUGUGAGAAGGAACAGAGAGGGGAUUUCAGAGCCACUGGAGACUGGGUCCUUGGAAGCCAUGGUGCUGAGUAAGGGCUGAUUGCAACAUGAGGGCCUGGCCUGCAAUGGGAUGGGUUGAAAUGGCCAUGCCCUUGUGGGUGGUACCACCAUCCCUGAGACCCAUGGGUCGCUGGGGCAACCACCUCCUUUUGGAUGGCCCAUCCCAGGGGCUAUCGGCCUACUUAGCCAGCUCCACAGGCUGCUGCAGGACAGGGUGAAUGUCUCCAUAUUGCCCCCAUCCCUUUUGGGGUAAUAGUGGCCUCUGGCUGGGGAAUUACCUUGAGCAAUUGGAGAACUGGCCUGAAAUCAGCAGGAUGGAAAUCAAUCAAGACAAGGGCAAAGUACUGCACUUCAGAAGGGGAAAAACAAACAAAUGCACCACCCCGUACCAGGGAAUAACCGGCGAAGUGAUGGUACAGCUGGAACAGAGCUGGGGCUUACAAUGUGAUGCAGUUGUGAAAAAGGCUAAUAUCGUGGGGUGUAUUAACAAGCAUAAGACACGGGAAGUAACCUCUGGCUCAGUCCAACCAACAGUCUCUGGCUCCGUUCUUCAGGAUGCUCUUCUUUCCUGCACCUGAGAGCAGUCUUGUGUUUCUGGAACCAUUCCUGCUCUGGGCUACUCCAUCCUUAACCAGGACUCCCUGCAGCUCUCCUCUCUGGAGCUCAGUUCUGGGUUAACCAGCUUAAGAGCCUUUGACAAUUUCUCCCUUUUUCCUUAAUUAGCCUCCAGUUUCAGAGUGCCCAGUGGGCCUCCCUUCGCCUACUGAUGUCUCCUGGUGGCUACCCUCCUAUGUUGGAGGAGGCCACGUUUAUGCUGGUCCCCUUCUCCCAACUCACCCCCCUGGGAGCCUUCUUUCCACCUCUUUACAAGGCUCCUGGCCCCAGGAUCUUAAAGAAACAGUAACAAAAUGACCUUCUAAACACUUCUUACUCCCGGGUCUGCUUCCUCUGUCCCAGGUUCUUGUACAUAUACUUGCACCUUUCAAAUUUUAUAAUUGGGACCUUUCAAAAAGGGCUCUGCCCAGUGACAGGGUGAGCUAACCAUUAGCCCCCCACUACCAUUGGGGCAGACUGUUCUAUCACAGAUGUUAUAAAGAGGACAGCGAUCAAUUGUUCUCCAUGUCCACUGAAAGUAGGACAAGGUGUAACGGGCUUAAUCUGCAGAAAGCGGGAUUUAGGUUAGAUCAUAGGAAAAACUAGCCAUCUCUAAGGGUAGUUAAGCUCUGGAACACGCUUCCAAGGGAGGUUGUGGAAUCCCCAUCACUGGAGGUGUCUAAGAACAGGUUGGACAAACAUCUGUCAGGGCUGAUGUAGGUUUACUUGGUCCUGCCUCAGCGCAGGGGGCUGGCCCGGGUGACCUCUCGAGGUCCCUUCCAGCCCAACAUUUCUAUGCCUCUGUGAUUCCAUGGUGGGGAUGUGGGUGGAGGAAUGAAAGGGAACAUAAACAGCUACAAACAUGAAAAUGGCCCAAGAAGGGAAACAUCCCCCGCCCCCCUGGAGGGUGUCUCUGUGCAGCCCUGACUGUCCCCCACAGCCGGUGAAUUCUUUUCAUGCUGCUGGAUGAUACUAUUGGCUCCCAAGAUGGGCAAGAAUUGGACACUAGGGCUAGAGGGUAGAGAUUGGAAGGACCCAUUCCAGGCUGCCUGCUCAGGUCUAAGCUGCAUGGAGGCCUUGGUUCAUCCCCGAGCUGGAGCAGGCACAGUGAGGAACAGGCUGCACCUCCCCUAUUGGGGGGCAGGGGUGCUGGUUUCCAGGACCAGCACAGGCUAAGCAGCCCUAAGGUCUGCCCCAGCGUGUUCUUCGCCUCAGCGGUCCCAUAAGGCAUUGCAAGGGCUCAGAAUUGCGAUAAUAUGGGACCACCCCCGUCUGCUUCCUCCCUCUUUUCUCCUAGCAUGGACCACAUCUUAAUAGAGAGAUGGUCUCUCACACAUCUCCCCUUCCCCAUUACUCAACCUCUCCUUCCCUCCCCCUUGCCCAUCACCUAUCCUGCUUCCCUUCCCCGUCCUCAUUCGUCAGACCCAUCUCUCCUCUCAUUUCCCAUCACCCAACCCCACUUCCCUUCACUUUCCUCAUGAGCUGGACUCACUUCCCCAUCACCUGGCCCCACCUCCUCUCCCAUUCCCCAUUGCCUGGUCUUAACUCCCCUUUCGUUUCUCAUGAUCCAGCCUCACUUUUCUGCCCAUUCAUCAAAAUGCAACUCCCCUCUUGUUCCCCACCUGGCCUACUUCCCUAUUGCUAGAUCCCGCCCCCCCAACACACAAUUCCCUUUCCAUUCAUGGCAGAGUAGACCCACCAUUUCAUAACCAUACUUAUGGGAUCGAUCCAUCAAUGGCUAUGAGCUAAGAUGGUGGGGAUGCAACC